UGCAGUUAUUGGUACUCCCACUUUUGGUGACCAACACCCCACCCCAUCCCCCGCUUCCCCCCCAGCCUGAAAGGCCUGCACAAUUAUUUCCAUAUUGCAACAUGUUACUUUUUGUUUGAUGCAUAUUUGUUUAUUUUUAAGCUGACUAUGGACGUUAUUAAAGUUACUGUUAUUGACGAAACCAUGUUUUAUAUAUUAUAAUAAAACAUUGGUUUUUUUGCUAUGGCUCUAUUGAAAAAAAAAAUGCAUUAAACAAAAUUGAAAAAAAAGGCUCUUUGGUGAAAAAGGUUCCCGACCCCUGCUUUAUUGAGCAGCUAUACACAAAAAUGACCCAGAUUCUUGGCUUUGACAAUUUAAUAAAACAGUUAACAGAGCUAGUAAACGUUGCUAAUUAAUUAAUCCUUUGUGUAUGUUCAUUUCAACUGCAGUGAUGAUUUGGCAUAGUGAGUAGUGUUGGUUUGAGUUUCAAGGAUUCUUGGUUCAAGCCUCACUUUUGGUUACUUAUGUAGCAUUUGACUGUUCCUCCAGGGCCUGUGCGGGUUUCCUCCAGGUUCUCCAGUUUUCUCCCACCUCUUGAAAAUAUGUCACUUAAUGGUUUAGCUAAUGGUCUGACUUGUGAGACUACCGCAACUCUGACCAGGACAAAUAUGUCUCUGAAGAUGACUAAAUAAAUUAAGUAUUUCACUAUGAUUCCGAUGACCAGACUGAGAUAUAAGGAAUACUAAAACCUAAGGUUUGAGCAAUGGGCUACUCAAUAGUGGUUUGGAUGAAUCCCUUAGAAGAGAAACGUGUAACGAAAUAUAGUGUUCAUCAAAUUUCCAUGAUAUCAGUGUUAAGAUGUGCAUUUAAUAAAACAUGCAGUGAACAACUCUGUUCCACACGUCGUUGGCAGCCAUGAAAGCAGUGGAGCUUCCCCAUGUACUGUACUAAAUCUUAAUUUAACCCCCGAGACUUACAGACAUAGAUCUUUUAAAAUAGACUGCAUUCUGAAAGCUUAUUUUUAAGUAUGCAUAAAUAACAUUUUCGUAUGCAUACUUAAGAUUCUAGUAGGUUUUUUGUUGUUGUUGUUAGUAUGCAUACUUAAGAUUCUAGUAGUUUUUUGGAUUCUAGUAUUUUAUUUUUUUGUAAGUAUGCAUACUUAAAAUUCUAGUAGUUUUUGUUAGUAUGCAUACUUAAGAUUCUAGUGGAGUUUUUUUUUGGAUUCUAGUAGUUUUUUUGUUAGUAUGCAUACUUAAGAUUCUAGUUGGGGUUUUUUUGGAUUCUAGUAGUUUUUUGUUAGUAUGCAUACUUAAGAUUCUAGUAGUUUUUUUGGAUUCUAGUAGUUUUUUUUGUAAGUAUGCAUACUUAAGAUUCUAGUGGGGUUUUUUUGUUAGUAUGCAUGCUUAAAAUUCUAGUAGUUUUUUGUUAGUAUGCAUACUCAAAAUUCUAGUAGUUUUUUUGUUAGUAUGCAUACUUAAGAUUCUAGUGGGUUUUUUUUGUUAGUAUGCAUGCUUAAAAUUCUAGUAGUUUUUUUGGAUUCUAGUAGUUUUUUUGUAAGUAUGCAUACUUAAGAUUCUAGUAGUUUUUUUUGUUAGUAUGCAUACUUAAGAUUCUAGUAGUUUUUUUUGUUAGUAUGCAUACUUAAAAUUCUAGUAGUUUUUUUGUUAGUAUGCAUACUUAAGAUUCUAGUGGGGUUUUUUUUGUUAGUAUGCAUACUUAAGAUUCUAGUGGGGUUUUUUUUUUGGAUUCUAGUAGUUUUUUGUAAGUAUGCAUACUUAAGAUUCUAGUAGUUUUUUUUGGAUUCUAGUAUUUUUUUUGUAAGUAUGCAUACUUAAAAUUCUAGUAGUUUUUUGUUAGUAUGCAUACUUAAGAUUCUAGUGGGUUUUUUUUAUUCUAGUAGUUUUUUGUAAGUAUGCAUACUUAAGAUUCUAGUGUUUUUUUUUGUUGUUGUUGUUAGUAUGCAUACUUAAGAUUCUAGUGUUUUUGUUGUUGUUGUUGUUAGUAUGCAUACUUAAGAUUCUAGUAGUUUUUUUGGAUUCUAGUAUGUUUUUUGUAAGUAUGCAUACUUAAGAUUCUAGUAGUUUUUUUUUGUUAGUAUGCAUACUUAAGAUUCUAGUGGGGUUUUUUUGGAUUCUAGUAGUUCUUUUUCUAAGUAUGCAUACUUAAGAUUCUAGUAUUUUUUUGGAUUCUAGUAGUUUUUUUGUUAGUAUGCAUACUUAAGAUUCUAGUAUUUUUUUGGAUUCUAGUAGUUCUUUUUCUAAGUAUGCAUACUUAAGAUUCUAGUAUUUUUUUGGAUUCUAGUAGUUUUUUUGUUAGUAUGCAUACUUAAGAUUCUAGUAUUUUUUUGGAUUCUAGUAGUUUUUUGUUAGUAUGCAUACUUAAGAUUUUAGUGGUUUUUUUUUGGAUUCUAGUAGUUUUUUUGGAAGUAUGCAUACUUAAGUUUCUAG
ensembl:lncRNA